rnacentral:rRNA from 1 species
AUACGGAGGGGGCAAGCGUUACUGGGAAUCACUGGGCGUAAAGGACGCGUAGGCGGAUUGGAAAGUCAGAUGUGAAAUCCUACAGCUUAACUGUAGAACUGCAUUUGAAACUUCUAAUCUAGAGUAUGGGAGGGGGAGAUGGAAUUAGUGGUGUAGGGGUAAAAUCCGUAGAUAUCACUAGGAAUACCGAAAGCGAAGGCGAUCUCCUGGAACAUAACUGACGCUAAGGCGUGAAAGCGUGGGGAGCAAACGGGAUUAGAAACCCUAGUAGUCC